AACGAACGCUGGCGGCAUGCCUAACACAUGCAAGUCGAACGAAACCUUCGGGUUUAGUGGCGCACGGGGGCGUAACGCGUCGGAACCUUCCCUUAGGUUCGGCCUAACUCCCCGAAAGGGGUGCUAAUACCGGACAAUAUCUUCGAACCAAGGAUUGAUCGCGUUUGGAUGGGCGCGAGUUGGAUUAGGUAGUUGGUAGGGUAAAAGCCGACCAAGGCGACCAUCCAUAGCUUGGAUGAGAGACUGGUUAGCGACACUGGGAAUAAGACACAGCCCAGACUCUUACGGAAGGCGGCAGUGGGGGACACAGGAGAGUAGGGCGAAGGCUGAUACAGCAAUGCCGCGUGAAUGAUGAAGGACUGAGAGUUGUAAUGCUUUAUUAGCUAGGAAGAUAAUGACAGUACCGAGAGAGUAAGCCACGGCUAACUACGUG
rnacentral:rRNA from 1 species